UACGGAGGGUGCAAGCGUUAAUCGGAAUUACUGGGCGUAAAACGCACGCAGGUGGCUGAGUCAGUCGAUUGUGAAAGCCCUGGGCUUAACCUGGGAAUUGCAGUCGAUACUACUCAGCUAGAGUAUGGGAGAGGGUAGUGGAAUUCCCGGUGUAGCGGUGAAAUGCGUAGAUAUCAGGAAGAACACCAAUGGCGAAGGCAGCUCUCUGGGACGGUACUGACGCUGAGACGCGAAAGCGUGGGGAGCGAACAGG
rnacentral:rRNA from 1 species